rnacentral:misc_RNA from 1 species
ACCUGUUACUGGCGAUCGUAAGCGCAGGAAGUUUAUGGAUGAUCACGCGGGGUGUGAUUAUCGAUGCGCCAGCGAACCUGUUGCGACGUAUUGAUAAUUUGUUCAGCCGUGGAGUGUCACUCAAGCCGCAGUAACAUUACGGAANUCCGGAUGAUUUAACCGCGGAUGAUGUUACAAGUGACGCUUCGGCGAAAAUGAAGGUCUGCAAACUAGAUGAAAAAAACUGCGCUUAUUACAGGGAUCACCGGCCAGGACGGCGCAUACCUGGCGGAG